rnacentral:rRNA from 1 species
GUAGGGUGCAAGCGUUAAUCGGAAUUACUGGGCGUAAAGCGUGCGCAGGCGGUUUUGUAAGUCUGUCGUGAAAGCCCCGGGCUCAACCUGGGAAUUGCGAUGGAGACUGCAAGGCUUGAAUCUGGCAGAGGGGGGUAGAAUUCCACGUGUAGCAGUGAAAUGCGUAGAGAUGUGGAGGAACACCGAUGGCGAGGGCAGCCCCCUGGGUCAAGAUUGACGCUCAUGCACGAAAGCGUGGGGAGCAAACAGGAUUAGAUACCUGGUAGUCCACGCCCCUAAACGAUGUCUACUAGUUGUCGGGUUUUAAUUAACUUGGUAACGCAGCUGACGCGUGAAGUAGACCGCCUGGGGGUACGGUCGCAAGAUUA